UUGUAAGUGUCUAAGGGCGCACGGUGGAUGCC
rnacentral:rRNA from 1 species